rnacentral:rRNA from 1 species
CCUGCGGGAGGCAGCAGUGAGGAAUAUUGGUCAAUGGGCGGAAGCCUGAACCAGCCAAGUCGCGUGAGGGAAUAAGGCCCUACGGGUCGUAAACCUCUUUUGCCGGGGAGCAAGGGCGGGGACGUGUCCCGGCCCGGAGAGUACCCGGAGAAAACGCAUUGGCUAACUCCGUGCCAGCAGACGCGGUAAGAAGGAGGGUGCGAGCGGUAUCCGGAUUUAUUGGGUUUAAAGGGAGCGUAGGCGGGAUGUUUAGUCAGCGGUAAAAAUUCGGGGCUCAACCCCGGCCGGCGGUUGAAACUGGUGGCCUUGAGUGGGCGAGAAGAAGGCGGAAUGCGUGGUGUAGCGGUGAAAUGCAUAGAUAUCACGAAGAACUCCGAUUGCGAAGGCAGCUUACUAAACUGCCACUGACAUUGAUGCUCGAAAGUGUGGGUAUCAAACAGGAUUAGAUACCCCUGUAGUC